rnacentral:rRNA from 1 species
UUGAACGCUGGCGGCAUGCCUUACACAUGCAAGUCGAACGGCAGCACGGGUGCUUGCACCUGGUGGCGAGUGGCGAACGGGUGAGUAAUACAUCGGAACAUGUCCUGUAGUGGGGGAUAGCCCGGCGAAAGCCGGAUUAAUACCGCAUACGAUCUACGGAUGAAAGCGGGGGACCUUCGGGCCUCGCGCUAUAGGGUUGGCCGAUGGCUGAUUAGCUAGUUGGUGGGGUAAAGGCCUACCAAGGCGACGAUCAGUAGCUGGUCUGAGAGGACGACCAGCCACACUGGGACUGAGACACGGCCCAGACUCCUACGGGAGGCAGCAGUGGGGAAUUUUGGACAAUGGGCGAAAGCCUGAUCCAGCAAUGCCGCGUGUGUGAAGAAGGCCUUCGGGUUGUAAAGCACUUUUGUCCGGAAAGAAAUCCUUGGCUCUAAUACAGUCGGGGGAUGACGGUACCGGAAGAAUAAGCACCGGCUAACUACGU